rnacentral:rRNA from 1 species
UAAAGUAAGAAAGAGCGUAUGGCGGAUGCCUAGGCACAGAGAGGCGAAGAAGGACGCAGCAAACAGCGAAAUGCGACGGUCAGCAGUAAGCAUGCAGAGAUCCGUCGAUGUCCGAAUGGGGGAACCCACCUGGAGUAGAGACCAGGUAUCCUGAAGUGAAUAAAUAGCUUCAGAGAGGCGAGACUCAGGGAACUGAAACAUCUAAGUACCUGAAGGAAGAGAAAAUAAACGAAUGAUUCCCUAAGUAGCGGCGAGCGAAAGGGGAGGAGCCCAAACCGAUCUGAGGAUCGGGGUUGUAGGACUGUCGAAAAAGAGCAAGAAGACAUUAUAGGCGAACGGAAUGGGAAGUCCGGCGAAACAGGGUGACAGCCCCGUAGCCGAAAUAGUGAAGAAGCUUGAGACAGCACCUGAGUACGGCGGGACACGAGGAAUCCUGUCGGAAUCCACCAGGACCAUCUGUAAGGCUAAAUACUCCUCUGUGACCGAUAGUGAACCAGUACCGUGAGGGAAAGGUGAAAAGAACCCCGGGAGGGGAGUGAAAAAGAACCUGAAACCAUACAAGAAGUUAGAGCCCGUUAAAGGGUGAUAGCGUGCCUUUUGUAGAAUGAACCGGCGAGUUACGAUAUGGAGCGAGGUUAAGCAGGAUAUGCGGAGCCGAAGCGAAAGCGAGUCUUAAGAGGGCGAAAGUUGCAUGUCGUAGACCCGAAACCGAGUGAUCUAGCCAUGACCAGGUUGAAGUUGGGGUAAAACCCGAUGGAGGACCGAACCGACCCCCGUUGAAACGUUGGCGGAUGAGUUGUGGCUAGGGGUGAAAUUCCAAUCGAACUCGGAGAUAGCUGGUUCUCCCCGAAAUAGCUUUAGGGCUAGCGUCGAGGUAAAGUCGUGUGAAGGUAGAGCACUGAAUAUGUGAUGGCCCCAUCCGGGGUACUGAAUAUAAUCAAACUCCGAAUGUCACAAAGAUAUACUCGGCAGUCAGACAGUGGGUGAUAAGGUCCAUUGUCAAAAGGGAAACAGCCCAGACCAUCAGCUAAGGUCCCAAAAUAUAUACUAAGUGGAAAAGGAUGUGGAGAUGUCCAGACAACUAGGAGGUUGGCUCAGAAGCAGCCAUCCUUUAAAGAGUGCGUAACAGCUCACUAGUCGAAUGACUCUGCGCCGAUAAUUUACCGGGGCUAAGUAUAUUACCGAAGCUAUGGAUUUACGCAGAAGCGUGAGUGGUAGGGGAGCGUUCUAUGUACAGAGAAGCGGUACCGGAAGGAGCCGUGGAGAGCAUAGAAGAGAGAAUGCCGGUGUGAGUAGCGGAACGCGGGUGAGAAUCCCGCGCACCGAAAACCCAAGGUUUCCAGAGGAAGGUUCGUCCGCUCUGGGUAAGUCGGGACCUAAGGCGAGGCCGAGAGGCGUAGUCGAUGGACAACAGGUAGAGAUUCCUGUACUUACGGUAUGAAUGAAGGAGUGACGGAGAAGGCUAGCGGAUCCUGCUGCUGGAAUAGCAGGUGCAAGCGAGGUAGCUGACAGCCAGGCAAAUCCGGCUGUCGAAAGGCGAAGACGUGAAGCGGAUGGAAAGCUGAGGCAAGUACAGAAGUCCGUGAAGCAGGCUUCCAAGAAAAGCUUCUAGUGUAAAUCAUACAGUAACCCGUACCGAAAAUGGACACACAUGGGUGAGGAGAGAAUCCUAAGGUGAGCGAGAGAACUAUAGCUAAGGAACUCUGCAAAAUGACUCCGUAACUUAGGGAUAAGGAGUGCUCAUAGAGAUAUGAGCCGCAGUGAAACGGCCCAAGCGACUGUUUACCAAAAACACAGCUCUAUGCUAAGUCGAAAGACGACGUAUAUGGGGUGACGCCUGCCCGGUGCUGGAAGGUUAAGAGGAUGUGUCAGCGAAAGCGAAGCAUUGAAUUGAAGCCCCAGUAAACGGCGGCCGUAACUAUAACGGUCCUAAGGUAGCGAAAUUCCUUGUCAGGUAAGUUCUGACCCGCACGAAAGGCGUAACGAUUUGGGCGCUGUCUCAGCUGUAGACUCGGUGAAGUCUUAGUACCUGUGAAGAUGCAGGUUACCCGCGACUAGACGGAAAGACCCAUGGAGCUUUACUGCAGCUUGAUAUUGGACUUUGAUGCAAGAUGUACAGGAUAGGUAGGAGACUGAGAGACAUGCACGCCAGUGUGUGAGGAGUCGAUGUUGGGAUACUACUCUUCUUGUAUUGGAGUUCUAACCGGAUGCCAUGGAACUGGCAACGGGACAGUGUCAGGCGGGCAGUUUGACUGGGGCGGUCGCCUCCCAAAGAGUAACGGAGGCGCCCAAAGAUACCCUCAGCUUGGAUGGAAAUCAAGCGCAGAGUGCAAAGGCAAAAGGGUGUUUGACUGCGAGACCAACAAGUCGAGCAGGGACGAAAGUCGGGCUUAGUGAUCCGGCGGUGCUGAAUGGAAAGGCCGUCGCUCAACGGAUAAAAGCUACCCUGGGGAUAACAGGCUGAUCUCCCCCAAGAGUUCACAUCGACGGGGAGGUUUGGCACCUCGAUGUCGGCUCAUCGCAUCCUGGAGCUGAAGUCGGUUCCAAGGUUGGGCUGUUCGCCCAUUAAAGCGGUACGCGAGCUGGGUUCAGAACGUCGUGAGACAGUUCGGUCCCUAUCUGUCGUGGGCG